rnacentral:lncRNA from 1 species
CUUCAAGUUUCAUCAUGAUUUGACAUAGAAUCCUCCGAGUCUCCAUCUUAUUUAGAUUUCUCUAACAUUAGGUUUUCAACUUUUGCUGCAUCUGGGACACUUUUGUUGGUUCUUCUUGUCUUUAUUUUUUUGUUUAUAGCAGGCACACGUACUGCAGUCUUUUUUCCUUUCUUUUUUCUUUUUUGAAAAUUCCUAACUUUUUCCUGGAUCUCUCUUUCGAGUUUUCAGUCCAACACAAUGCCCUUUUUCCUAACUCUCCAUUUUUGGUUUUCAACUUAGUGGGCUCUUUUUCUCUUUUUUCUGGCAUAUUUUUUUGAUAGCAUUAGAGUUCACAGGGAGCAGAGACUUCUAUCCAUCAUUGUAAGAAUCAAAGAUAUGCCUCCUCGCUCAUACCCAUUUCCCCUUGAGGGUGAUAAAAAUAAAGACGAUUGACAUCUCAUGGUUGAGGAGUGGUGUCAUGGUGCCCUACAUUU